AGGAAACCCUGAUUAAAACUCAGUCUCUCUUCUUCUCUCACAACCGAACGGCGCUUCAAAGGGAACCAUAGUCAUCUCUUCAAGCAUUCAAUGCUGUGGUGUGGUGUUACAAGAGGAGGAAGCCACGAAGCUUUCUGCACCAGCUCACCUCUUCCCUACCUCCUAUAGUAUAUAUGGAUGAACGAACCAAGCCUCUCAAUUCUCCUGGAAACAACAGAAAUGCACGACAAGAAGAGAAGAAAGGAAACAAGAGUGGCGGCCAAGGAGAAGAAGGAGGAAAACCCAGGCAGAAUCAUGAUCAUUUUCGUGCAUCACCAUCAGGGAAGAAGAGAAGGACAGCCAUGGAAGUUGCUACCCGAAGCCAGAGGAGGAGCUCUACGCCGUUUCCUUUUUUAUUUCCUUAACGUUCUUCUUGCUGGGGUUUUUGAUUUAAGAUAAGCAAAGGACAAAAUUUAGUUUGUGAAAUUCUCAGAGUAAGGUUGAUAAAGCUAUAGAGGAUAUACAAAAGGAUGAAGGCAGGGAUACAAAGGGAAGGAAGGCAAGCAUGUGUACUCAUUUGUUAUUUUUGUUUCCACACAUGUCGGAAUUGUGGAUUUGAUUUAGCAACAAAAUUUGAGAAAAUGAUUUGUAUUAUUUAAUAUCAAUUUGUAAACAACUUUGAGAAAAUGAUUCAAAUAGUUAAGGUUAUUUAUUGAUACUAAAUUAAGAAAUUAGUUGGAACUAAUUUCAAUGAAA